AGCUAGAGUUUGAUCCUGGCUCAGGACGAACGCUGGCGGCGUGCUUAACACAUGCAAGUCGAACGAGGUUAUGUUAAGGAAGUCUUCGGAUGGAAUUGAAAUAACCGAGUGGCGGACGGGUGAGUAACGCGUGAGCAACCUGUCUUCUACAGGGGGAUAACGCUCCGAAAGGAGUGCUAAUACCGCAUAAGACCACGGUGGGGCAUCACAUUGAGGUCAAAGGAGAGAUCCGGUAGAAGGUGGGCUCGCGUCCCAUUAGAUAGUUGGUGAGGUAACGGCCCACCAAGUCGACGAUCGGUAGCCGACCUGAGAGGGUGAUCGGCCACAUUGGGACUGAGACACGGCCCAAACUCCUACGGGAGGCAGCAGUGGGGAAUAUUGGGCAAUGGGGGAAACCCUGACCCAGCAACGCCGCGUGAGGGAAGAAGGUUUUCGGAUCGUAAACCUCUGUCCUUGGUGAAGAGGAAGAGACGGUAGCCAAGGAGGAAGCCCCGGCUAACUACGUGCC
rnacentral:rRNA from 1 species